rnacentral:lncRNA from 12 species
UGGACGCGGCGGGGGCGGGGGCGGGGGCGGCGAACCUCGCCUCCGACCCCGCCGCGGCCCGGGAGCCCCAGGCGCGCCUCCGCGUCGCGGCCUCCGGGGACCCUCCCAGGAGAGGCCCGCGCGCUCCCGGCCUCGAGGAAGCCCCGGCCGGCGCGGUAGGCGGGUUUCCUGAGAGGUGUGUGUGCAGGAGCACACUCUUCCCUCCGGGGAGGAGGAGGAGGAGGAGGAGGCGACUCCCGCGGCAGAGAAGAGUCCCGCGUCCUGGGUUCCGGGCACACCCAAACCGGACUUCAGAAGCAGCAUUGGAUGGGACGUGAAGGGCACCGUGGGAUAAAGGACGCCCCUGUACUAUCUGCAGGAGUCUGUGAUCUGGGGCUGCGAGGCCCAGCAGCCUGGACACGGGCCAAGAAGUCAAGAACUGUUGACACCCACGUCUCCACUCUCCUACUGACACCAGCGACCACCCAGCCCAGCGCAACCAUAUGGCCUCUUGUUUUCCUGAUGUAUGAGCGGCAGCGGGAGCAGGAGGCUGGUGAACACACUUCCUCAGGUGUCGCUCCACAGCCAAGGCCUCUACGGGGGCGCCUACCGCUUCCCUCGAGGGAACCACCUCCGGGCUCCGCGGUUGUGAGAGAACGCGUCAGCGUCGUCACAGAGGCAGCGCUGCCUCUGCCUCUCCGCAUAUUUCCCGCCUUCCCGGGAGACCCUCAGACCACACCACAGCGCCCCUUCUCUGGGCCUAAAAACCUCCCUCUCAUCCCGGCUCCUACCUCGCGAGGCAAAAGCUCCCUACCCAGCCAUCCGCCCUUCUCCUACCUCACGCCAAAGUCACGCUGGCCACGUGACUUCCGGUCUGAGCGCGGCUUCCGGUUCCUUCGGCACAUGAGCACCGCCGGCAAGAUGGCGGCGCCGGAAGUGCCCGCCUCGCCAGGCGCCCGCGCGUCCAUCCCCACCCGCAGGCCCGGGGGCGCUGCGGUCAGUGCGGGUGGAGACAGGCUCAUAAUUCCACACUGUUUAAACGGUGGUUUUACAGUAUUUGUUCAGUAUUUACUCAACGGAAAGGCUGAGUGCUCUGAAUAAAUAAAGGAAGGGCCCAGCAGGAAGAAGGGCCCUUGGGGGGGCAGCUUCAGCCUCUCCAUUCUGCUCGCUCGCUCGCUCGGAGACUUCAUCUCUGGCCUCCGAUCUGCAGCCCCCUCUGAGCAAAGCAAAAGCCCCUGCAAUUGAGGGCACCCGUGGGGGCCCCUCCCUGCGGUCCCUAUCCAAGUAUCCUUCCCCAUCCCCAGCACAGCUGCUUCCCCCGAGGGCCGUUCUGCAAAAGACUAUUGUCUCUGCUCCUGCUGAUGUUUUCGGGGCUGGGGCAGAUGUGCAGCUGGUCCACCCUGGCUAACAGGACUUGUGGGCUCCUUCCAAAUGCAGGGGGAGGCCUGAGCGCCCAAGUGUUGCUGGGGGUG